UACGAAGGGGGCUAGCGUUGUUCGGAAUCACUGGGCGUAAAGGGCGCGUAGGCGGCUUUAUAAGUCGGGGGUGAAAGCCUGUGGCUUAACCACAGAAUUGCCUUCGAUACUGUAGAGCUUGAGACCGGAAGAGGUAAGUGGAACUGCGAGUGUAGAGGUGAAAUUCGUAGAUAUUCGCAAGAACACCAGUGGCGAAGGCGGCUUACUGGUCCGGUUCUGACGCUGAGGCGCGAAAGCGUGGGGAGCAAACAGG
rnacentral:rRNA from 1 species